rnacentral:lncRNA from 1 species
UUAACUAUCAUAUUAUUUCUCAAUAAAUUAGGAAAAAAUUUAAAAUAUCUACCCAAUCCACACCCCAACCCCUACCCCCACCUAUGAUACAAGUGAAAUGGACGCCUUAACUUUCGAUGGCAUCAUUCAAACUCACUACGUGAAGAAUCAAGUUUUGGUCACAUGGAGGGCACGGAAUCAUACUUGUAGGGGUUAUUUUGAGCAUGACAUCAAACAAACCCAUGUGUGAAAGAUUGCUUGGAGCCUUGAAGACUAGAGGACUCACGGGUUUGGACCACAUUUGAUGGUUCACGGUUUUGGCCCCUUAUAUUAAGGUCAUUUUGGUCACUUAGCCUCAAGGUCAUUUUGGUAUUUUAGCCUUGUCUAAAUGGCACUCCAUUGCCACCCAACUCAUUAAGGGCAUUGGAGUCAUUUUAUCUUUCUUUUGUAAUAUACUAUAUAUAGUCUAUUUUAGAUCAUUUCUCUUUAGUUGAUGAAUGAUGAAAUAUUGAAAGACUUAUUCUCUCUCUUUGAGAGUGUUCCACCUUAGUGUAGUUCUUAGUUAGAGCUUGAA